UACGGAGGGGGCAAGCGUUGUUCGGAUUUACUGGGCGUAAAGGGUGUGUAGGCGGUCGCGUAAGUCUGGUGUGAAAUCUUCAUCGCUUAACGGGAAGAGGUCACUGGAUACUGCGCGACUCGAGUAUGGUAGAGGCUAGCGGAAUUCCUGGUGUAGCGGUGGAAUGUGUAGAUAUCAGGAAGAACAUCUGUGGCGAAGGCGGCUAGCUGGGCCAUCACUGACGCUGAAACACGAAAGCGUGGGGAGCAAACGGG
rnacentral:rRNA from 1 species